rnacentral:rRNA from 1 species
UUAAGUGACGAUAGCCUAGGAGAUACACCUGUACCCAUGCCGAACACAGAAGUUAAGCCCUAGAACGCCGGAAGUAGUUGGGGGUUGC